UUAUAAUAAUUAUUAUCUUUAUUAUAUCCAUUAUUAUUAAGUGUGAAAGUAAAACUUGGUUUAUUGAAUGAACUAAUAAAGUAAAAAAACUUGCAUUUUUCCGGAUCAAAAUUUUUGGCGAAAAAACAGCGAAAGGAUGCAUUUGUAAAAUGGCAUCUGCACUGAUGACCAAAAAUGUUGAAAAAAAUUACUCUGGUACUGGGAAAAGAAUAAAAGGCGUGGGAAAACUUAAUUUUAGCGCAACAGAAACAUUUAAGUGUAUGGAAGAUGUAGUAAAAGAGAAACUUGGUAACUGUAAAGAUUGCAAAAAUUUUGCUGGAAAAGUUGGCCGGUAGUUAUCAGGGCAAGGAGAUCGAGAACAGGGUCGAAAACAAAGAUCCUUAUCUUUAUAAUCUAUUUAAUCAAUCAGCGAUUGAAGGACAAACGAUUCAAAUCAUAAUUGGCGCAGAACAGCUUGAAAUUAGUAGACCGAUAGUAGAAAAAAUAUUUGGCGCAUUACUGUUUGCCGUUAAUGGGCCGAUAGUUCAAAUGAUGUCUGGCCCAUUGCUGGUUGCCAUCAAUGGCCCAAUAGUUUAAUGCCAUUAAUGGACUGUGGUUAUCAUGCCAACUGUAAGCCGUUUAUUGGCCAUAGAAAAUUGCCAUUACUGUGCCAUUAAUCGACAUUCUUGGCCCAGCAAUGGCCCAGUCUAGGGCCGAUUUCCAAACUUUGUAUGGGAAGGGCUUUACCAAACUUAGAUUCUUCAUGUUAUUUCAACCGAUUUGGCAUGGUAGAUUUUGAGAAAUCUCAGAGAAAAAUUGUUCACGAAAAUUUAUUUUUGUAAUAACUUGUAAACAGAUGUAACGAUCAAUUUAAUAAUUUAAUCAGCUCUUAAACUCGAAAAAUGACGUCGAUUGCUGCAAGCCGCAUGGAAAUCGGUUCAAAUAAAUUGGAAAUUUCUUUUAGUGCUAAAAAAAAAACUACGUCAAACGCCACCAACCUUGUAAAAAUCGGUCAAUUCGUUCAUAAGUUAUUCAAUUUUUAAGAAUUCCAAAAAAAUGUUUCUUUAACUUUAGGCAAUAAAUAAUCUUUUUGUACUAGAGAAUCUACGUCCACUGCUACAAGUUCCAUCAAAAAUUAUUGAUUCGAUACAUUAAAUACUCACAAGUAAUUUAAAAGUAAUUACUAAUUACUAUUAAAUAAAUGGGUAUCGAUAAUUGGUACAAUAUUACGUUUUUAAUUGGAUCAGUUAAUUUUGUCAAGCUGUCAGCAAUUGGUGUGUCUGAAUUUAUUACUUCAUCAGUUGUAGUAGGCAGUGCCGUCACAAAAUUCAUAUUCUACCAAAAUUAUGAAAAUUUUUUUAUCGGAUGAUACCGACAUCAACAGCUUAUCUUCAAAAUUUCAGGUCGAUUUACCACACUGUUUCUAAGUAAUUAAUUUUUGAAAUUAUAAUUUACCAUAUAAUAUU